rnacentral:tRNA from 1 species
GCGGUGUGGUCUAGUGGUAUGAUUCUUGCUUAGGGUGCAAGAGGUCCCGGGUUCAAUUCCCGGCA